UGUCACUGCAGCUCCACCACAUCUCGUUAGGGCUGCUGCUGGUCUGCCCAUGAGCAUCAGCUUUGGGGGAUUUCCCUGUUCAUACAGCAGCUGGCAUCUGCUCUGAAGUCUCUCCCAGCACCCACAGGCACACCAGGAGACCAUCAUGGAGCAGAGCCACGGAGCCUGGGACACCUUAAGCAGCUUCUCCCAAGACCUCAGAAGAGACAUCACAGAGCUGAGCUCCCUGAGCUGAACCCAAGUCCCAAGCCAAGCCUGCAUCUUUCCACUUUCCCAGGGCUCCUCACAUUCCGUAUCACAAACCACUUUUUAAAAGUUUAUGAGUUUGCCUUCAAAGACUUUGGAUGCAUCAGGAUUUCAGGUAGGUACAACACACUGGACAAAUGACACCACCAGACUCUCUUUAUCAAUAGAUAAUUGAUAUCAAUUUUCAAGCUGAAAGUCAUCUCUUUAAAUGAGUAUAAGCCUUUUCUUGCUCUAAGGGCAGGGCUUUUAUCUUCCUGCCUUUUGUAUCCACCACUAUUUUUCCAGAUCCAAUAAGAAAAGCCCACCUGAAUCCACUACAGCGUUCAAAAUGAUUGAAUU
rnacentral:lncRNA from 1 species